rnacentral:lncRNA from 1 species
GUCUAAAGGAACAGCUGGUCUUCCAGGUCCGCAGGGACCACCGGGCCUCCCAGGAGAGAGGGGCCUCCCUGGGCCUCCCGGCCCUCCCGGACCACCAGCCCCUGUACCUGAACAAGAUGGCCUGAAAAAAGACAGUCUGCUUCAUAACAACUUCCCUGACCUCCGAGUGACCCCUUCACAUGGACCACCAGGUCCAGCUGGACCCACAGGUCCUCAAGGACCGAUGGGACCCAGUGGACCACCAGGCCCUAUGGGACAAACUGGAAAGCCGGGACCUCCUGGUUUGCAAGGCCCUGUGGGACCAAACGGCGAACGAGGCGAAAGAGU